rnacentral:tRNA from 1 species
UGGUCCUAUGGUGUAGUGGUUAGCACUCUGGACUUUGAAUCCAGCGGCCCGGGUUCGACCUCCUGUAGGACCUU